AUUGAACGCUGGCGGCAGGCCUAACACAUGCAAGUCGAGCGAGCGGCGGACGGGUGAGUAAUGUCUGGGAAACUGCCUGAUGGAGGGGGAUAACUACUGGAAACGGUAGCUAAUACCGCAUACCAUCAGAUGUGCCCAGAUGGGAUUAGCUAGUAGGUGGGGUAACGGCUCACCUAGGCGACGAUCCCUAGCUGGUCUGGGAGGAUGACCAGCCAAACUGGAACUGGGACAAGGGCCCGAAUCCUUCGUGAGGCAGCAGUGGGGAAUAUUGCACAAUGGGGGCAAGCCUGAUGCAGCCAUGCCGCGGGUGUUAAGAAGGCCUUCGGGUUGUAAAGCACUUUCAGCGGGGAGGCGUUACCCGCAGAAGAAGCACCGGCUAACUCCGGGCCAGCAGCCGCGGUAAUAC
rnacentral:rRNA from 1 species